rnacentral:rRNA from 1 species
UACGUAGGUGGCAAGCGUUGUCCGGAUUUAUUGGGUUUAAAGGGUGCGUAGGCGGUUUUUUAAGUCAGUGGUGAAAUACUUCAGCUUAACUGGAGAGGUGCCAUUGAUACUGGGAAACUUGAGUACUGAUGAGGUAGGCGGAAUGGACGGUGUAGCGGUGAAAUGCUUAGAUAUCGUCAAGAACACCGAUAGCGAAGGCAGCUUACUAAGGAGUAACUGACGCUGAGGCACGAAAGUGUGGGGAGCAAACAGG